CCACAGCUCCAGCCAAUCUCGAGCCGGAGGCAGGCUUGCCAGGGCUGUGAUUGGCCAGUUGGUCCUCCCUGCCUUGGAAUGUUGGGUCCUUAACAAAGGAAUGAGGAAGGAAGGUGAGUCACCUGGGAGGGUGUUAAAGGGCCAGGAGCCAGAAAGAGAAAGGAGGACAGGGAAGCGCUCAGCGGGGGAGAUGGAGUGUCCUGGACCCUAAGACGUGAAAUGAUGAUUCAGUAAAGAACCGAGUAGGAGAGGAGAAAAGUCAUCGAACAGCCCGAAGUUGCUGUAAAAUCCCACAGGAAUCAGAAGGACACCCGAAGUAUCUGUCCGCUCCCCCGUACAGUGUCAUCUUUGUAAGUCUAUAUGGCAACGCGACAUCGGCAGCCGCCUUUGUUCACGCUCCCCAGGCAUCCCUAGUUCACCCCGAUUUGGAAAGCUCUUCCUCACCCCAAGGCCGCCUCUCCCUGCCCUUGCACCGUAACUGAGGAGCCAUCGCUGCUGCUGCGGCCUCUGCCUGGAAGCUUGGUGACCCCUCUCACCCUCCUACGGUCCCCUGGACAAGCCCUGCCCUCCACCUCCGUCUGAUCUGAGUCUGAUCUGAUCCUUCUUCCAGGUUUGGUGACCCCAGCACAUGCUCCGACGUCUUCCCCCACCUUCCCUCCUGCUUGUGAGGGCAAGGGCCCUCCGCUGGUGAUGCUUGUGCGUCCUGUGACGCUGCUUGUGCACUGUGCUCUGUACUCUGCACACGACCCCAUCAGCACGUGCCGUCUUGCACUGAUGCUUUGGGUUUCUCAUUGACUCCUCUCUUCCAGGUCCUGAGCUCGAGGGCAGUAGGGUAACUCCGCCUGGGUGUUCAGGGUGUUGCAGGGCCUGGCCCGGAAUGCGCACAGCAAACGUGUUACAUGAAUCUGCGAGUGUGUGUGUGUGUGUGUGUGUGUGUGUGUGUGUAACUGUGUAUCUGGGUUAAGAUUAUAAAGACCUCACUGAACACCUCGAUCUUUUCAUUGAUAACUGUGCUACCCCAAGAAUCGGUCUCCUAUCUGGGGUUCCAGACAAGUCCCACUGGCCAGAGGCAGGGGGGCGGAGUUAGGCAGAAAGCUGUGCCCCAAGCCCAGGGCCAGGGUGCCAGGGGCCAGGCCAGGGGCAAAGGGCACAGGCCCCACCCUGGAACUGAAAGGGGCAGGGAAGGGGUGCCAAAGCCGGGUCCUAGGUCAGUGCCCCCCCCCAUGAGUUCCCUGCCCCCGGCUGGGCAGGAUGUGGUGGCAGCUGCAGGAGGGUGGGCAGGAUGUGGGGGUGGGGGCAGCUGAAACGGAGCCUGACUAUCGUCUCCCCAGCUCCUCCCUUCUGCCCCCCCCAUCCGCCCCCUACAGAUCACGUGCUUCCAGCUCGGGCACCGACGGACUAUUUCCUUCUUUCCGCGGAAGGACAUAAUUGACACCGCAAAUUCGAGUCACCAGCGACUUGAGCUGUGCCACGCCUUUUUAUAGCCCUGUCGUUCAGGACAUAAAGUUUGCCAGACACACA